UACGGAGGGUGCAAGCGUUAUCCGGAUUCACUGGGUUUAAAGGGUGCGUAGGUGGGCAGGUAAGUCAGUGGUGAAAUCUCCGGGCUUAACCCGGAAACUGCCAUUGAUACUAUCUGUCUUGAAUACCGUGGAGGUGAGCGGAAUAUGUCAUGUAGCGGUGAAAUGCUUAGAUAUGACAUAGAACACCAAUUGCGAAGGCAGCUCACUACGCGAAUAUUGACACUGAGGCACGAAAGCCAGGGGAGCGAACGGG
rnacentral:rRNA from 1 species